rnacentral:rRNA from 1 species
UACGUAGGGUGCGAGCGUUAAUCGGAAUUACUGGGCGUAAAGCGUGCGCAGGCGGUUUGCUAAGACAGGUGUGAAAUCCCCGGGCUUAACCUGGGAACUGCGCUUGUUACUGGCAGGCUUGAGUGUGGCAGAGGGGGGGUGGAAUUCCGACGUGUAGCGUGAAAUGCGUAGAGAUGUGGAGGAACACCGAUGGCGAAGGCAGCCCCCCUGGGCUAACACUGACGCUCAUGCACGAAAGCGUGGGGAGCAAACAGG